GUGCCAGCAGCCGCGGUAAUACGGAGGAUCCAAGCGUUAUCCGGAUUUAUUGGGUUUAAAGGGUGCGUAGGCGGAAUUGUAAGUCAGUGGUGAAAUCUUGCAGCUUAACUGUAAAAUAGCCAUUGAUACUGCAGUUCUUGAGUACAGUUGAGGUAGGCGGAAUGUGUAAUGUAGCGGUGAAAUGCUUAGAUAUUACACAGAACACCGAUUGCGUAGGCAGCUUACUAAGUUGUAACUGACGCUGAUGCACGAAAGCGUGGGGAUCGAACAGGAUUAGAAACCCCCGUAGUCC
rnacentral:rRNA from 1 species